CGCACGGAGGCGCAUUGUCUGAGCCCUCGCGCAGAUAAACAAGAGGAACGCGUCACUACUAUCAACCCUUCCGACGUUGCGGCUCGCGCACCGGAGCGGGCAGGGUGCAGCGACCCCACGCUCCGCUCCUCUAGGCGCUGCCCCGCACGGCGCUGGGGGGGUGGGGGUGGUGGCGCGUGCGGACAGGGGGUGCUCCCCCCUCCCCCCAGGUCCCCAGUGAUGCAAGGGCCGGGCUUACGCGGCCUCCAUAGCUGUGAAUCAGCAGAAACGCGCUUUUAUUGCUUACGGGUGGAAACGCAACACCCGGGGGCACAAACGCCGCUGCUCCUCAGCCCGCUGCACGCCCCCCACCCCUCCCCAUGUCCACCCCCCCCACCCCCACCCCCGGCCGGCGGGAGCGGCGCGCAGCCCCGCGGCGGGCGGAUGAUGCAACGCGGGCCGGCUCCAUGUGCUUCCCCUCCCCCGCCCGGGCUCCCGGGUUCUUUUUUUUCCGCCUGGAGGGUCACCCGGCGGCUGAUUGAUUCUCCUUUCGCCCUGCUCAGUCAUUCGGGCUUGGAAAGUAAAUAACACGCUGACAUCAUUACCGCGCUCCGCAGUGCCCCGCCGCGCUGCUACCGCGCGGCUGCGAGUAGCUGCGCACGAAGAAUCACCGCCGCACCGGCACCGAGCCGACCCCUCCCCCACCCCGUCCCCGCCGCCCCCCAGCACGGCGGGACCCGCUGCCGCCCUCCCCCGCCUCGUACCGGAGCGGGGCCGGCCGGUCGCAGGGAACCUCCGCGGGUUUUGGGGUUUUUUUUAGGCGGUCGCGGCCCCGCGACCCACACCCACCCACCCCACCCCCACCGGCCUCAUGGCUAAUGUCAUGCAAAUAAUAAGAUUAUCUGGAUGUUGCCUGGGUGUCUGCCUCGGUGGGCUUGUCCUGGUGACAGCGAGACUCACGCGGCCCCAAAAGUCAUAUUUAUGAUCUUAUUUUUUUUUUCCUAAAUGACCUUUCCCCUUUUUCUCCCGUUUGGUCUCACUUUGACAUUAAAGGGAAAUUUCAUACUCGUUAUACAUUUAGCCCAAAGCCUACAUAUGCACCAUCACCGCGAGUUCCUAUUGAAAAAUAUGACAUCAUCCAAGGCGGCACAACAAAGAUUCUUGCUACAUACAUCCAUGGAUGUGUUGAAAUGAAGACGCCUGAAACACUGGGAAAUGCUGUUGUGGGCUGAUGCACGAUUCGUCGUCAUAUUCAGAGCCUCGAUAUUGCAGCGCAAGGCCGUCAGUGCUUAGACAGACGUAUAAGCUCAUGUCUUCCCUUCCAAAUGAGCCCCCGUUCGACUUACUUUUUUUUCAAAAGCAAAACGUACAUUAGGUUUUUAUUCCUUAACAAUGUAAACAAACAAAAGCCCGCUCCAGAUUUAGAGUGAGAUGGCACUGAAUUUCUGGUUUUGUGCUUUUCGUUUGUUUGUUUGCCUUUUUUUUAAAGUCCUAUGAGCUUACAAAUGAGGCAAACCCAUCAGAAAAUAGUCCCGAGUCAAGACUUGUGUAAUUUCUGGGGCUUGGUUGCCCAGCAAGGAGGCUGGGACCAUUCUCACUCCUUCUGCAUUCUGUGGAGAGGGUUCAGCUUUGGUAGUCAGGCAAAGGUCUCACCAUUAGGCCUGGUCCUUGCCGCUCAGCCUGGCUAGGCUAGCUCAGGCAGCAGCACAGGAGGGCUCUGUGGCAGGGGAGGAUGGGGCAGGGGGAUUCCCUGAGCAGCAGGCUCCGUGAGGGGCAGCAUGACAGGUCUGUCCCCAGCCCAGCUUUCCAAGAUGCAUGGUCAAUUUUUCACUGCUGAGGAGCAGCACGUGCUCAUCCUACGCCUCCCGGAUGCUGUGGCCUUACAGCUACCACAGUGUCUGAACCUCCGGCUCAGAAAGCCACCGGGCCCCAUCCAGGCACCUGGCCAGCUUGUCCCAGGCUGAGCAGGCAGGGAGACAGAGCUAGGCAAGGAAAGCCUGGGCGAGGGGGAGGGAUGAAGGUACUGCCAUGGCAGGGAAAUUAAAUUGCAACCUCAUACGGAUACAGCGAAGUGACUCUUUUUAAAUGGGGCACAACCCGCUGCCCGUUACCAGAGCAGCGUAAGUCCUGCGGGAAGCAGGACAAGCAGAAGAGGGCGAGUCUGAAGGGCCAUGGCUGCCUACCUCUUCCUCGCUUUCUGAACAGUCCGAACCGUCUGUAUACAGCCGUGUCUGAGCAGCAGCAACGACUGGCGUGGUCUUAGCUACGCGGGAAGCCAGGCAGGCUGCAGCUAGCCCCUGGGGAGAUGAGGUUAAAUACUGAUGUAAUGCUUGCCGAGGACUUAAAUGAAGUCUAUCAAGAAAGGCAGUUUUUUCAAGCUAUGCUAAGGUAAGGGGAGCAGCACAGAGCCCAUGAGAAGGACUUGGGGUAUUUCUUUUCAAUUAAAAUUAAAAAAAACCACCCAACUAUAAAGUGAUGGCAGAGUAAAAGACGGAAGAGUGAAUGGCUGCUCUGGCCGUUACAAUAAUUUUGGCCUUUGUGUAGCAGAAGACCCCAAAGUGACCGCAUAUAAAAGAAAUCACCAGGGUUUUAAGAGUCUUAGUUCUUUUUUGGUUUCAUAACUCGUGACGCAGUGACGGUGAUUGGUGGCAGUGCUGCGGCCCUGCAGCUCCAAACGAAGGAAGCCAGAGCUGUGGUUUCUUACCCUCAUUAAAAUGGAAACCCAAACCUGAAACAAUCAAAGUCAAGGGCUAGCAGGGCUGACCUACUGUGGAGAUAAUGGGAUCAUAUGACAAAAUAUUUUGCAUUUUAAAAGAUGAAAGCCAUUGUUAUUUUUCUAGUGCUUUAUCGUCGUGUAUUGUGUCGGUAACUGUUUCUGUUUUCCCCCCACACCAUGUUUUUCUGUCCUCUGACUAUAGAGAUGAAAGUAAGUUCUCUUUAAGUGAAUCAUUCAGAAACAAAUAAUUGGUUCUACUUUUACGCAGCUGUAGUUAAAUAAUUCUCCUCACAAAAGAAGCCUGGAAUACAGAUUAAUUAUGUACUCCGGUUAUGAGAUGUGAAAAAUGUGGAUCUGCUGAUCUCAUUAAGUUUUUAAGAGAACUAAUAUAAAAACUUUUGACAUGAUAGUGAAAACUGGUGUUUUACCUUGCUUAGAUGCCUCAAGACUAUCUGGAUACAGGCGCAGUUUGCAAUUCUUCUGUUGCAAUACACAGAUAGUCUAUAAACUGGAAUGCGACAUGUUAGGCACGAGUCUGCAACACUCGGAAAUAUGCUAAACAUAAACCAUAUUCUCAGCUUUGCCACCAGACAAUUCGUGGUGGGAAAGUAAAGACUUUUAGCACAUCAUCAUCAUCAUCAUCAUCAUUAUUAUUAUUUAGCACAUCUGCAGCAACAAGCUUUGAUUUCUAUUUUGUGAGCAUCUUUACAGUAUUUGAUAUUUUUCAGAUAAAUGUUCUCAUAGAGUCGCUCAUGUGAGCAACUGCUCUGCAGCAUCAAAAAGCAGUUUCUCAUUUAGCCACUUAUUAAUACCAAGAGUUUCAAUUUUAAAAGGAAAUUCUGAUUGACUAAGAUGUUUUCAGGAAUUGAGACCAUCACUGGUAUUUUUUUUUUCACGUAUUACUUCAUUGAUAUCUUUGGACUAGACUGAAAACUUUUGCUUAAUUCAUGAGCACUGGUGCAAGCAGACCUUUUGAGUAAAACAACAGUAUCAAAAAUCAAAAAGCCACGUGGGAGACCUCUUCUCAAGGUUUUUGGAAAGCAAAACUGUCAAAAAUGUUUUGAUUUUGCAAAGCAAGCAUGGUCUGAUCUUUUUCUAUCCCAUCUACCCUUUUUCUCUCCGUAGUUUGCUUCAUGUGGCUUGUAAUACCUGCACUUUCGAGUAAUGUUUUUUCAUUCACCUUUUUGAGAUGUGAAGAUCCAGGUUCCUUGGGCUCUAACAGGAAUUUGAUCUAAUCUAACAGGAAUCUAAUCACUUCUGAUAAGAAUUUUGAUUCUAUUAUGCUGUUGCAGAGGUUGCAAACUGGGAUGAACUAUUCAUGGUUUCUUCCCUGUGCCAGUAUAUGAUGAAUGCACACCUUCCGCUGCUGAGGGACACUGCGUAUUAGAAUAGAAUUAGCUCAUCAACCCCAAGACUUUUAUUUUUUUAAGGACGCUAACCAUCUAUUGCUAACUAACUUAUCUAAGCUACAUCUCUAACUCUGUCAACCAUGAAAGACUGGAGAAAACAUAACUGAUAUAUGCAAGUGCCAGGAGAAGCUAACCAGCUUGCUUUCCAUGAGGGUGAGUUUCUGUGGAAGCUUCCCGAGUGCUUGCAAAGGGGGAGGUUGCCUGAAUCUCUCUGAAUAAUUAAGGACACAUGUGAGAAGCUCAUAGAGAAAGGUGACUCCUUGGAGUCUCCAGACUUCUGGUCAGAGAAGAGGAGGAGAAAAUUAUGACAGCAGAAAAACUUGUGAAAAUAAAUCCCGAGUAAUGAGAGGGAAGCUGACUAAACACAAACAGUGCUGGUUUAACAAAGAACCACAGACAGCGAGACUGAUUAUAGCCCACGCUGAAUGAGGAGCUUGAUUCAACAAGGUAAAUGAAGGUUGGUCCCUACAGACAGACCAUGUGCUGUGGCAUGAAGGGAUGAAUGUGGGAAACUCUUGAUCUGCUGUUGAGCCAGGACACUCCUCCUGGACUGCCCCAGCAUGGAGUAAAGGAGGAAGCUGCAAUACGGUGAUAUCAACCCCCAUCAGUCCCUACCUACACAGCAUUUAUAGGGAAGCUUGCUUCCCAGAAGACAGGGUUUUGUCUGAGAUUGCAACACUAAGAGUCACAUCAUGAUUUAAUUAAAAAGCUUGUACUACAUGGAAUUAAUAUGGAAAGGACUGAAACCUGGGUCACUUAUAGACACAAAAUGAAAUUAUUAUUAGGAACAUAUAAAAAAAAGCCUGGCCUUUUUAGUGGCCUCACGAAAGAAUGGCUCCAUCUGCUGAAAGAUCAUUCUAGAGACUGACAUUGCAUCUGUGCUAAUAAUGUGUGCAGAUGACACAGAAAUUGGCAGGGUAGUAAAUAAGGAAAAAAGUUACCUGUGCUGUGCAAGCUGAAUGGCUUAAUUAGGUUGUCACCAUGAGCACGAUGUAUUUUAAUAAAACUAAAUAGAAGAUAAUACACAUGGAGCAAAAUUGCAAGUUCUGGUUUGAGGAUGGCAGACAGCUUUGGCAAGCAGUCGCACGGGGAUGUAUUUAGUAAUCUGUGGUAAUUGCCCUGAGGCGAGUGCUCAGAGGAACUCCAUGGACAAGAAAGCAAAUGUCCUGCAGGCAUCUGUGGAUAUCUUGGAUCGUGGAGUACAAAUCAGGGCACUGAGCCGCAAAGUGGCUGUGCCCAUACAAGUAAUGUUGACUGUAAAUUGUUAUGUUCAAACCGGAUAGUUGCAUUUCAGGGGGAAAUUGGAAAUUUGAGGAACAGAUAAAAAUAGAAUAAAAUUAAUUAAAAACUAAUAGAAAAGUCUCAUCAUUGCAAGGAAUUAAACUUGCAAGUUUAGAAGAGAAGAUCACUAUGGAUAGACAUUUAAACACUGAACAGCUAUUUGGUGGUGUGAGCUUUUUGACCUUUCCAUAAAGGCAUAAUAAAAUCUAAUCACUGGGAAGUGGAGUGUGAGAAAUGGAACUUCAGAAUAAGAUGUAAUUAAGAUGAUUAACUCCUAGUAUCAUCUUUCUGCUGGAUGCUCCAUUCUGCUAUCAUGGUUUUGCACCUCAAGAAGUUAUGAGGAAUUUAUGUCCAGCCACAAUUUCAAAUUUGACUUUAAUUUAUGGAAGAAAAUCUGCAUGUUCUGAUUAAACAAAGACAAAGAAGCCAACAAAACUAGCUAACAACUACCCCUGUAUUAAUUUUGCAGUAUUGGUCCUUAACUACUUUUUGAUUUUAUGCUAAUGAUCAUGCUAAGAAGUUAAUGCAAAGAAUCACAAUAUUGCAAGAAUUAAAGCAUUACUCUUUAAAUCAUAAAAAAGCCUAAAAGUAAACAUAAACAAAGUCUACAAUAAUAUUCUAUUACAAAUCCAUUACUGGUCCAAACUAAAAUACUCGUUUAAUGAAUAGAAAUAUCUAGCCACAUUAACUGUUUGGAUGUAUUUUGGCUUUCUUUGUGUUAGAGCAUAUUUCACAUCUCGAAUGGAUCCAUCAACUGUUUACUUCAGAAUGCCAGGCUUAUUAUGUCCACUGGUUUUUUUGCCAGCCUAUAAAAUCUGUUCGUCUUUUAUAUUUUAAGGAAAUAGAUUUUCAUAAACGCCCUAUGCACUACUGAAGACAAAACUUUCCACAUUGUUAGGAGUCUUUGUUUCUUGCUAUUGAAAUAGAUCUUGAGUCAAAAUUUCUAAAAAUAAAAAAACUCCCCAGAAAUACAUCAAGGAUGGACUAACCUUUGCAGAUAAUUUUAUGGAGGUGUAUGAGAAUUUCUUUAUAAGGUAUGACCCAGCUAGUAGGCCAUUUACCUUUUUAGCAGAGGAAUCAUUACAAAAAAUGUGCUGAUAUGGUAGAUACUAGUUAAUAUGUUGUUACCAUGUAGGUCACACUAUUCAACUUAUUCUUUAGCGUCUG